GAAUGAGGAUUGGGGAUAUGAAGAGCUGCUUGAUGCUGAUAACCUUUACGAGGAUCACUUGUAAGCUAAGUUGCUUGGACUCUUCACUUUUGGUGCUGCACCCAUUUCGACACGGUGUGGGUGUGGGUGUGAGAUCCGUAUUCGGAUCUGAUAAGCCGAUUUUGGAUAAUUUGACCAAAAUCGACGGAGAAAUUCAGGAAAGAUACCAUGAUUUUUUAAAUCAAAACAAAAGCUAGGGUGAAAUUGAAGAAAUUGGAAUACCUUGUAAAUCUCCUCCUCGGAUUCUCCUCUUGAUCAAUGUUUUCUGCUUCUCGGAAUACCUUGUAAGUUUUUCACAUAAUAUCUCAUAAUUUAGACAUACUUUUAUAACUCUAUUUUUAGAUAUUUGAAUUAUUUUUAGCCGAAUCCCGUUACCCAUAUCCGUAUCCCCGAAUCUUAAAAUUUAGACCGUGAAAGAUUAUGGAGGAUAUUCAUCAAUUUGAGGAGAAUAUUGUGGGUUAUGCCAAGAAGAAUACCUGAAGUUUUAACAUGUUGGAACAGAGAAGGCAACCUAUCCAGUCAUAACGAUAGAUAGAAGUUUGUCCCAGCUUGCAUCUUGUGGACAAUCCAAGAAAAAAGAAAUCAAAGAUGCUUUGAAGAUAGAUACAGUAACAUUCAAAAGAUGAAAAUGAAAUGUUUAGUUCUUUCUUAUUUUUGGUGUAAAGGAGAAUAUUUAGAAGAUCAUGAAUCUAUUUUUGAUGUUUUAGAAUCCUUAUGAGAAGACAAAGGAUUAGGAGUGUCUUUUCUUUUUAGGCCUCCUUGUAAUUAUAGGUGACUUCACAGCUUUUGUAUAGUCUUUUAUUUAUAUAUAAUAUGUUACCUUUUCAAAAAAGAAAAAUAAUGGUCCGAUCUCUAGAUACCCACUCGUAUCGGACAACCAUACCCGAGUCCGAGCAACUUAGCUUAUAAAACAAGGGGUAGAAUUUUGUAUAGCUAGAUAGACUGUUUCAAGGACCAUUAGCUUCAGAAGAUAGAUCAAUGUAUAGCAGCUUUAAGUGUACCUAGACGUGAAGUAGAACUUUAAAAGAACACAAUUUAAGAUCUUCUUAGCACUUUAUAUUAAAUAGUAAAGAAUGUAUUAUGCAAAUGCGGGCAUACCAGGAUAGAUAAGAUAAGAAAUGAAGAUAUUCAGGACAAGGUGAGAGCGGCCCACAUGGAGGACAAAAUGUGGGAAGCGAGACUAAGAUGGUUUGGGCGUGUGUAGAAGAGAAGCACAGAUACCCCAGUAAGGAGGUGUGAGAGGUUAGCUUUGGUGGGUCAAAGGAGAGGUAGAAGUAGGCCAAAGAUAUAUUGGGGAGAGGUGAUUAGGCAGGACAUGACGUUGCUUUAGCUUGCAGAGGACAUGACCCUCGAUAGGAGGGUGAGGAGGUCUAGAAUUAGGGUAGAAGCUUACUACGUAGUCGAGCAUUUUUCUUUUCCAUACCAGUAGUAUUAGUGUUAGUCUUGUAUUUUCUUAUUCUUAAAUUUCUAUUACUACAUGUUUCUUUCGCUUCGGUUUUCUUACUAUCUUGUUGUUGUUACUGCUUCCUUUUUCAUCUUUCCGUGAGCCGGGGGUCUAUCGGAAACUGCCUGUCUACCUUCUCAAGGUAGGGGUAAGGUCUGCGCACACACUACCUCCCCAGAUCCCACAUGUGGAUUACACUUGGUUUGGUGUUGUUGCUGUUGUUGUUGUAUGCAGAUGUGAUUAAUACCAAUAUAUUUUCCUGUUCGGUUCCAACCCCCACUUUGAAUCUUGUGUUGGUGACUGGUACCCGAUUGACCAAGAGAUGAUAUAUCAUGCUUAAAGGAUAACAAAUUAGCUUUUUUUUUUUUUUUUUUGAAUUAUGUUUCAGCUAGUUGUUGAAUUUUUUUGUUUAGUGUGGCAGUAAGUCCUGCUAGAUGCCUUUUAUGAGCUCUUAAAGUGAAUUUUCCCUCUAAAUCCUGUGAAGCUGUUGUCCAUGGGAGCUCCCUUUUCUGUUUCCAUACUAUUACUGCUGUGGAAUUUAUACUUUAUGAUUUAAAUGAUCUAUAAACGAUCUUGCAUUUUCUUUCUGGAAAACUGGAAAAGGUUCAAAUUUGCUGCUAAAUAUCGACUUACAGUUAACUUUGCUCUCCAUUAGAAGUUGGCAACAAAAAUACCCUCGCUGUUACCCUAUCGUUUUGUAUUUGCCCCUUUUCUCCCGCAUAGCAAAGCCCUCAUUGAUUCACCAUUGUCCAUGUCAGGCGUCAGCUGAUUCAUGGAUAAUACACGUAAUUUAAGAGCCAGUUCAGUGGAUACAUGGAAAAAUAGGAAAUGAAAAGUAACUUGUAGCACUUUUUGAGAGUGAAUAAUGGAUUUUCUCCCAUCUCUGCUUUUGCUUACAAUCCUCCAUUGAAGAAUCUCCCAUAAAUAAAGCUUUCUUUUGGGAAAUACUCUAGUACAGCUCAAAGAACCCCAAGAAUAUCAAACUAAAUCAUUUUGCUCCUAUCCCUCUUUACCACCUUUAAUUGGUACUCUGCAGAUUUAGUAACCCAUCCAUCUGAAAUGACCCACAUACCAUGCUGAGGAGCAGACGAUAAAGAUUAGAGAGCCCGAGACAAGUGAUACCUUCACUGGAGAAUGGGUUCAAAAUGUCGAUGCUCCAUAUGCCAACACGACCUGUUUGCGGUCCACGAGCACCAAAAUUGUGCGAAGCACACAAGACCUGAUUGACUACUUGAAGUGGAGGUGGAAGCUUAAUGGUUGUAAGCUGCCCAUUUUCAACUUUUUCAGUUUUUGGAUAUGGUCAGGAACAAGUAAUUGGCACUUCUCGAUGAAUCAGUUAGAAGAAACCAGAUGCAGUCCUUGAUAUGUCUCUUCAGUUCUUGUUAAUUUUGCUUAUAGUUUUUCGUUUUCUUUUGGAUGCACACAACCUGCUGAUAUAUGUUAAUUACUGCUUCUGCAAUGUUAUAGUGUACCUAAGUUUCAUACUUAUUAAAAAAUAAUUUACCUUAGUUUCGUGAAGCUCUAGUUUGGAUUAGCUAGUUGGAUGCACUUAGCUUGUUUCUGAAUGCAUAAUUAAGGGUUAAUAGAAGAUUUUGUCUACCUCAGGCUACGCUUAUUCAAGUUUAAGGUGAAAUUUCAUGUAAGACAGCAUUGAUGGGUCAACAUGUAUUUUUCCAUGUCCUCGCACGUGGCAAUAAUACAGCUCCAGCAUAGAUCAAACUGGACAGCUAAAGCUAUGUUACAGAAUAGGGGUGUAUUGGGUAACGGCAAGGGGUUUUUGUUGCCAACUUCUAAUAGAUGAUAUAAUUUAAAAAAAGUCAAUAGUUGAGGGGAAAACUUGGACUUUUCCUUUUCUUUAGUGUAUUUGAUACUUAAGAGUACUAACACAAACUAGUAAGGUGCAUCUUGGACAACAUCUAGGUGUUCCAAAGAGUUGAAUUUACUAUUAAACAUCUUGGGAUCAAAUAUUUGGUACAUGUACAUAUUGACCUUUCACCCUGAUUUGGAGAAUCAUGAGAAUUGAGAUGGCACUUAAAAGAACCACCACACAUACAGACAUGUUAUUUCUUGUUCCCUUCCAUAUUGAAUUCCUGCAUUAUCAACAGUUUGAGUUGGGGAAUGAGAUUCUAACCUCACAGUUGCCUCGCCGCCAGCCCGCCAAUGGGCAUCUCUUUUUUCCCCCUUACUUUUUUAUAACCGAGAAAUCUCUGAGUGCCAGUGUUGCACUACUGUAGCCUCAAAGUUGCCUAGCAGCCGAUGGGCAUCUCUCUGGCUCUUCAUUAACUACAUCACAGAGUUUUUGAACGGCGAACUCACACGUGCAUCAGGUCUUGGCAUGUGAUAAGCAGGUUGAUUAGAGAGCCAGAGCAUAGAAGAAGUCAUGCCCAAGACCUAGGCUUGCAAAACCCAAUGCGACAAGAAUGCUGCUAAAUAAGAUUUGUACUUUUGGUUUCAAAAGGUUAACGAACCCUGUUGCAGAUGCAAUUUAAGAAAAUCAUAAGACAAAAAGAAAAACAAAGAAGAAAAUCAUAAGACUGAACAUAAACUUAGUUUACGCUGAAGAUAAAAACACAAGAAGGCAAUGGUCUCCUCCUCUUGUUUAUUGCAAAAAGACUCAUACUAACUGGAUGAACAAGUAAAGAUGGGAUCUCAAAGUCUUACCUCUGGUUCUGGUGUUGUUAAGUAAUUUGGGAUCAAGGUAAUAAUCUAUUUGAUUUGCUUUGCAAAUGGACAAAGCACUAGGAGAUCUGAGCCCAUAGUGGCAGGGCUUUAUUCCUCCUGUAAAGCAUCCUGAGACAUGCAUCUUCUCGAAGUUACUUUCUUCUUCCAUUUUAAGAAUUUGUUCAUAGUUUGGUUUCUUCUUUGAACUAGAGGGACUCUCUAUCAGGCCUAUGCUAAGGCUGUUGACUGUAGAUGCUGACAUAUUAUAUCUUUCUUGAUAUGCAAUGUCUGGCAUAGUCAGUUUAAGAUCAUUAAAAUUGUCAGGUGCACUAAAAUUGCUGCAUUCACUGACCUCAGUUGUUGAAUCAAAUACUUGACCUUGUGUUCCAUUCAUGGUUAUUUCAUCAAUAUUGCAGGCUGGAGGUGCAGGAUAUGACUUCUCAU
rnacentral:lncRNA from 1 species